AUGGCGACCGGCGCACGGGUGAGUAACACGUAUCCAACCUGCCGAUAACUCGGGGAUAGCCUUUCGAAAGAAAGAUUAAUACCCGAUGGCAUAAUUAGACCGCAUGGUCUUAUUAUUAAAGAAUUUCGGUUAUCGAUGGGGAUGCGCUCCAUUAGGCAGUUGGUGAGGUAACGGCUCACCAAACCUUCGAUGGAUAGGGGUUCUGAGAGGAAGGUCCCCCACAUUGGAACUGAGACACGGUCCAA
rnacentral:rRNA from 1 species